CAGAAGAAGAAGAAGAAGAAGAAGAAGAAGAAGAAGAAGAAGACGAAGAAGAAGACGAAGAAGACGACGACGACAACACAUCCUACUCCAUUAGAAAUGGUAAACAAGUAAGAGAAGACAGAAAACACAGAUUUGUAUUUGGGCCUACUUCAUUUCCCUAGCCCAUUUCUAAAAUCAGUCCUUCCCCACUUAGUGCUAGGGACUGAUGAAUCAAUCUAUUUUUUUAAUACUGGAAUUAUUUAAAUCAGUUAGCAUAGGAAGUUUUUUGGCAUAAUUCUGCUUAAGAACUGCAUGUUCUUUUUUCAUUUAAAUUUUGAAUGCAAAGCACCAUCUUAUCUGAAUAAAAUGAGAAAAAGAACAGCCUUAUCAUAGAGAAUGCCAUAAAUCUGCUUUGGGAGUGGAAACGUCUCAUGCAGAAUUUCAUAUGGGAGUGGAAAAUGGUGCAGUGCAAUUAUUCUUCAAGAAAAUAAGCAAAACUCCACAACAAUUAUUUUAAAAGUAUAAUCAGGAUUUUGUUGUAAGCUGCAGUGGCGAACAUGUAGUGAAGGAGCUCUGCUGUUACCUUUUUAUUCUUUAGAUGGAGUUGGAAAAGUCUGUCCCUGUCCAGAGGCCCUGUUUCACAGGCUGCUUUCCAAGGACUCGCUGACCUUGGCAAGACUGAGAUGCAGUAUUUCUGUAACUGCAAAAGAAUGGGACAUCACUUUAUUGGAGCCACACAUACAUGGUUUAUUUUACUGUUGACAUCUAAAGUAACUAAAACACUAAAGAUCAAACCUAAUAUUCUGAUUUACAAUUAAAGAUUGAAAGGCAUACAUGCAAAAUACUUUGAUGUUUUCUGUCUGAAAAUCAGCAGCCUUAACUGAUUCUGUCAGGAAUGAUGAGGUGGUCUUCAUAGAGAACCUGGAUGCUGUAAUGGUGACACAACUGGAAGCAUCAGAGAUGAAAAGGGCAAGCUGAACACAAGUGGGACAAGCACGUUCUCUGGCUGUGAUUUUGUGUGAUAAUGCUACCUGUGAAGAAAACCAAGUGGGUGUUUGGACCACAGAUAGUAACAGGCAUAACUUCUGUGUGUUCCCUCAAAUUGCCAGAUAACUCUAUAGUGCACAUAUUGUAGAUAAUAACCAGCUGGUUUUGCAUCUCACAUUUUUUUUGGAAAUUUGUGUAUGGGUGACUCAGGUAAGAAGAAAGGAAGCAUCAAAUAUUAGUUAUGGUUGUAUGAGCAGACCUGCCUCCUCUUUCACUGUUUUUUUUUAAUUGUAAGAAGGAAAAACAUUUUGUGUAUCCACAGAAGCCCUUAGAAGAUAAGAACAUUUUCCUCAGCCUUGUUUUUUUCUUUAUUUGCAAGUGUGUGAUAUCUCUGCCUUGUCUGUCCCAUUUUCUCUCACUAAGUCUCCCCACGGUUAAGGGCUGCUUCCUUCAUGUCCCAGAAAUUGGCCUUUGAGAAACCCAGUAACAGUCCAUAUUAUUUGCAGACAGAAAGUUAAAUAGCUGUGUCUUUUUUGCACUGACAAGUUAUUGAUCAAGAAAAUGUCAAAAGAGAGAGCAAGAUAUGGCACUUUAAUACAACAAAAUUCAAUAAUCCUUUUUGUGAUAUUUUCCUGAGCCCAGGAAUACUAAUACCACUUGAAGAAGGAGGACAGAACAGAUCUGUCAGUGGAGCAUAACAAAUCCACAGGAAGUGCUUACUUUUACUGAAAUUCAUUUGCUGCUUUAUAUCUUCAGUCAUUCUAAGCAAAGCUACCUAAGGAAUUAAAGGAUACAAACACAAUAGAUGCUCAUUAUGAAUCAGAAAAUUAUUCUGAGUUGAAAUUUGUUUAGAAAGUCUGAGACUGGCAAUCCUGAAAGUAGCAGUUUCAUAUGGUCUUUUAAUAAAUAUUUCUCUUGUAAUGGCAGACAAAGUUAAAGCACUUUUGAAUUCAACUUGUUAGUCCAGUUUGAAAAGGAAAGUAUGAGACCAGAUAUCAGCUAUCCUGCCCUUGGCUGGGAAUCUGUGAUGUGAAGACAAAAGGAGAAUUACUAAUACUAAUAAAUACUGAUGUAUUCAAAGAACAUACUUUUCCAGCAUUUGUCCUGAUGCCUUAUUUUAACCAUAGACAGUUCAAAGGAACACUCUGGCUGAGUGGUACAUCCUUCUCUGCAGAGCUUGUUUCUUCCUGUGGUAGUGUGUAGGGAAGGUGCUCCAGACUUCUCAGAAGAGCGUGGAGGAACAGGAGGCAACAGCCAUGAGUUGCAACAGGGGAAACUUUGACCAAGUAUCAGAAAAAAAAUAGAAUUCAGUGGGGAUGAUUGGACAUUGUCAGAGAUUAUCCAGAGAGGCUGAGAAAUCUUCACUGUUGGAGAUGCUCAGAAGACAAUGAGGCAAGGCCCUGUGUUUGCUGAGCUGAUGGACUCUGAUCUGAGCCAGCUUUGCACCGAUGUCCUGUGGGAUCCUGUCCAACUUCAGCUGCUCUGUGAUCCUGUGGAUCCAAGGCUAAACCCAUAAGCUUUUACUUAGCUGGUUAUCUGCCCUAUCUUUUUGUCUUGUUCUUUUUGCUUUUACAGUCUAGUCAAAAGAAGAUACCUAAAAUAUUUUUCCACCCUUAAAUUCAAGCCUCUUGUCUCCAUUGUUAAACAUCUCCAAGGUAUCAUCAUGUUUAUGUCAUUAUCUCUGUCAAGAAAUAAUAUCUUCUAGUUUUCUGACCUAAUCCACUAGAUUUAUCCCACAAAAAGUGCAACUGUAAAAAUUAAAAUCUCCUCUUGUUCAAAGGAGCCAAGCUAUUUUUUUUAUUUCAGAAAAAGUCUUUAAUCUAAUGAACUGAGCUCUUCAAAAAAGUUUGCAUGGGGUCAAAACUUCCAAGCAGAAGAGGAAUAGUUUUGUUUUACUGCAACUGAACCAGUCAACAUAAAGAAAUAGCAACAGACACCCACAGAGCCUUCUUUUGCCACUGGUAAUAACAAUACAAUAGAAUAGGAGCAUUUUCUCUAUGAAUAUCACAAUAUAUGUCACUGAGUUGUUGACAACUUUUUUUAAAAAAAAUCAAGUAAAUCGAGCAGAUCAAAAUGUGAGAUUCACUGUGAUAAAGUCAUGUCACAUAUUAAAUCAAAAUACCAUAGUACAUAUUUUGCAGACUGGAUGUACAUCUGAGAGGCAGAAGGGACUAAAAUAUUUAGGAAUUAGAGUUAAUAAGGAAGAAAAUAAAAGUACCUGUGCAGCAAAAUGAGUUCUUCAGAUUGUCUGGCUUCCUGGAAACCAAGAAUUCCAGUGAAGUAUACAGACCUGUAUGGAAUAAGUGACAGUGUCUUUACAGAAGUGAUCUAUUGCUCAGAUUUCCUGCUGCUGUUAAACAUAAUACUGAAAUUUCAAAUAGCAACCUCUAAAUCAUGUAUGUGAUCACAAGUUCCCAGUACACAGCAGCUCUCCGAAAAAGCCUGCAUUUAUAAAGGAGUGUGUCCAGGACAUGGUCAGGCUGCUUCAUCACUGGGGAGUUCUCUGGGAAGGAUAAGUUACCGAAGAAGGCAAUGACUCACUGAGAAGCCUUUUAGUGAUGAUCAGUUUCAACUAUGUUUUGGAAGACAAAGACAGUGUUUGUCAAUCUGUUUAAAGAGCUUCCCAGUGAGAAGUUUAAUGCAUUUGUGGGUAUUGAAUUUCUGUUUUCAAAGGUAAACACUGUAAAUCAUGGACACAAAGCCACAGAAAAUGAGAAAUAAAUAGGUACAUAAUACCUCAAAUUGCAGGGUUGAACCUUCCACACCACCUACAAAAUAAUAAUUUUAUUUAAUGGACAUAUUAUUGAAGAUACAUAAAGAUUGUUUUACCCUAGAUUUACAACUUCUGUUGUUGGUAUGUAUGAACAGUGAAAGUGUCUGUCAAAUGUUAAACUUUCUGCUUUCCUCCAGACAAAUCCUACUGGCCAUCUCAAAGUGUAGUAAGGAUAAAAUCUUGAAAAAGCAUUUCCAAAUCUCUUUGGCCACCUUUUAAAGUUAUGUACUCUGUAGUUUAUAUCUUCAGCUGCCACCUCACGAAAGACCCCUCAUAGCACUGGGGCUGAACCUACCUAGAACAACUUGCACAAUAAUGUGUAGCUACUUUGGAAGAAAUUAUUUCCCUUUGCAAUGGGUCCAGUAAUUGAUGUGGGGAGGCUGUAUGAGUAUGAACUGGUGUGUUACACUUCCAGAGGAGGAUUUCUGUGUCUUUCUCUGUAUUUUCCUGGCUUUUAAAUGCUGUCCAUUCCCUUCUGAGUUUCCUCAGAAAUCCUCCUGUCUUGUUUGGUUUUUUCCUUUAUCUGUGCUAAGACAGAUGAGCAGAAUGAAGCCAGGAAGAUUUUUUUCCUCUGUGUUUUCAGGGGAAGAGAGGCUGUAGAUUAUGAUAAAUCUUUCUUUCCAGAAAGACCAAUAAAAAAGGGGCCCAAACUCUUCCAUUCUGUGCUCAGCCAGUUGGGUGGAACGGGCUCCCUGGGAAGGAAAGAGUGGUAGGUGUAGGAGGUGGGAGAGGGGCAAACCUGCUGUUGAGUGGGUUGGGCUGUUUCACAGCUAGACCCGGAGCUUUUUUCAACAGGAGAGAACUCUAAAUGCAUUAGUGAGCCAUUUGGUUCAGAGAAAAUAAAAGAUGUGAAGAAAUAAAAGAGAAAGUCCACCCCCCCUUCUUUCACAUUUGAACACACUGGAUUUUCAUUAUAAUCCAUUAACCUACUCAUAGCCUUUCAUUAGAGCCCUUGGGAGACUGGAAUAUUUUUAGCAAUGUACUGUUAUGAAAAAUACAAGUUAAAAACUCACAUAACUUCCCCCUUCCCAGAAACUGGAGCGGUCAAAGAGAAAUUUAAAUCUUUUCUCAUACCAUACCACGAAGAGUGUGAAAUUGCAUGAACAUCAGAUGUAUUUCAUUCUAUAUUUGCAUGAUUUUUUUUAAGAAUAAAAAAAAAUCCUCAUAAUUUUCCAUGAUUUGUCUACUUAGUACUCAGUACAGAAGGCACACAAAGCCUUUUAAAUAUGUGUAAUUAGGAAAAAUACUUACAGGCUGGAAGAAAUAAUGCAGUUUUAGUUCAGAAAGUAGUUCAAAUAGUACAGUUUGGGCUGGUAACUUCUUCUGAUUAUAACAGAACUGUUCCCUUAGUUUCAUUGAAGGCAUCUGCAGGGUAAAACAAGAACCUUUUGGUCUUUCUAGUUUACAUGGUAGCACAUUGUUUUCCAGGUUCAGCCUAGUCACUGCAAUGAUGCUUUACAACAUUUACCCUAAUAUUAUUUAAAGGACCUACAAGAUGCCCAUGUAAUUACCUAAAGUACCAUCUUCUUUACGACUGUCAGGGAUGACACCAAAGGUGAUGGUGAUUAACUGUGACAAACAAUACCAUCCAUAUUUUACUCAGCGGUUUUUUAAACAGUUUUUGAAAUAUGGAGUUCUAAAGUCUCCAAUCAAAACCUCUGAAAAGUGGAAGAUAAUAUUCCUUGCAUUUUUUGCUAGACUUCUUAAUAUGCCAUCAUCUCAUAAGACCCUUUAAGAAACUGUGUUAAGCAUCUCUAUUCCUAUUUCUGUGCAUUAAUCUAAUCGAGGAAUUUCUUUUUUUUUUUUUUUUUUUACAAACUACUCCCUUCCAGAUACCUGUUUGAAGGCCAUACAUUUGACUUGGAAAAGUGCUGCAAAUUUGUGGAGAAAGUAAAAUUGGAAACACUUUCAAUUUUACAUGUAAUAGGCGAGAUUUUACAUCUGCUGAAAUAAUUCUGAUUUCUCUUGUGGAAAUUGGAUUUUCUAAAUUUAAUACUGAGAUUUAAAUUUAAUUUAGUUUAAUACUUUAAUACAUAUAAACUGUGGAUAUUCAAUGUUUUGCCAGCAGAUUAUGUUUGAGCCAUUGCAGAUGUGCUAUAGAAAUAUGGUAAAAGAUAUCUGAAAGACAUUAGAACCCUGGUACAACAGUUAUGGUUUUAAAAUACUGUAUUCACAGCUUUCUUUUUGCUUGAAAUUAACCCCUUAUUAACUAAAUUAACCCAUUUUGCUUUAUGGUUAUUGGUUAAGAAUGACAUCUUCCAUUGGUUUCAGGUCUGAAGUGUACUUUGGCCAUAUUUAGAGAAGUCCAUGGUAAAAAUAUGCUGGUAGGAAACCUCAGACAGAAACAUGCCCUAUUUUUUCAAUUCAGUUAUUUGUUGUAGCCGAGACGUGCUAUACAAAUGAAUUAUCAGUACAUAUAUCUUGUUGCAACAAUAUUCUAUUCUUCUUUCUAAUAGCUAUGUUUAUAAUUUCCAACAGUUCUUUGUGAGCUCAGAAUUUUUAGCAUGUGCUGCUGCUGAAAGAAAAUUUCAUUGAUUUUCCACAAGGUGGCACGUAAGAAUCGGUCUGUAUUUUAAUUAAUAUAAUUCAGUUAAUGUACACUUAGUAAAUGUCAAAUGCAUGUGCAGACUCAGUGAAGAAGGAAUACAUUCCUGGUACAGAGUGUAAUGUAAAUGGUAAUUUAAAUACAGCACAGCAAGUGUGGCUCUAUCACUUGCUGAAUUAUGGAGUUGACUACUAUUGUAGAAUAGCUUAUCAAAAUAAAAUCUAACCUAAGCAUGUCACAGCUACUUCUGUCAUGAAAUGAGAUUGAACACUGAUUCACAUAAUGAGAUCCCUUGGAAUUGUGUAGGAAUUAACUUAGAAUAUAUUAUUUAUUCAUGAUUCAAUAUUAUUUAUUCAUGUUUACAUUUUAUGAGAGACAAGCAUGAGUAUCAAUCUGUUUCCUUAAAGUAGAUAAAUAAUUUUUAAACUGAGCAUUUAGUUAUUAAACACUCUUCAUACAGUCAUUUAAUUUGUGAGUUUUGGUGCAGUUUCUGUGCUAGAGAACUUCUUAAUCAAACCAGGAAACAAGUCUGAUCCAAGUUGCCAUCCAAGCAGAAACUAGUCA